CUGAAUUUAAAAAAGAAUACAGAAGUUGGGGGAAGACUUGGAACGACUCCAACAUGGCAUACCAAUCCAUGGAACAUAAUGGUAAAUGAGGAGAUAAAGUAAGAGACAGACAGAGAGAGAGAAGAAAAAAGAGAUUGAACCUGAACAUAGGACUCUAUUUUAUGACAUGGCUUUUGACAUGUUGAAAAUGCACCGUUUGCAGUAGUUUUCUCUCCUCAACCUAUCAAGACAAUACAAUUUUUAAAAUUCCAAGUGUAAAAUCUGGUCAAACAUGCAGAAAAAAGUUACACCAGAUUUCAUUUCCACAUUACAGCUGGGGAAGCCCCAGAGAGAUCAAGAUAUGUGCAAGCAUUCAGCAGAAUGAAGUCUAACAUAAGCAUGGUUUCCCCUCUGCUCAACCAUUUAAAGCUAAGUUAACCAGAGACAUGAUAGCUAAGCAAGUCAGGCAUUCAGAAAAUGAUGCAGGCUUGAAGAUGACAAACAAGUUCAGAGACAGCAAAGAAAAGCAGCAACAAAUUCUCUAGUUUUCCUUCCCUCCUUAAUAAAAGAAUAAACAACUGUCAAAGGAAGUACAUAUGCUGUAGCUGCUGUAUACCCAAGGAAAGCUGAAGGGAUAUGAUAAUGCUCACAAUGCUGUAUUGUUUCCUGCCUUUAAAAAUUACUGCCUUUUUUUUUUUUAAUGUUUUGGUGUCUUCUGUUUAAACUUUGUAUAUGACAAAUCCUUAACUCAAAGGAAAGGGAACAAAAGAAUCACUUGACUUUAUGUUGGGCUUAAGAAUUAUAUAUGUCCUCUAUGAAUACUCUUAUGAAUAAUUUAUAGUUGUGGUGGGUUCAUGUUAUAUUUAAGGCAAUUAAAAUAUACCAAAGGGAAAAAAAGGCAACAGGAGGUAACAGGAACUCUUCCAAUCAUUCAGUGAGGUUUACAGUUUAAUCCUUUGCUCCCUUCAUUAGGAGUCUGUGUUUUAAGGUGAAUUUAUACACAAGAGAGAACAGACAGAGUACAAGCGAAAGGAGGUUUCACUCAGGAAAUGAGUGCAACAGCUGGACAACAGCAUUAUGCUAAAUGGUACAGCAAAAACAUAACCAAGAAUGAGCUACCCAGCUACAAUUUACAACAGAGUAUAAAUCCCCUUCCAAAGAGACACUUUCUGCUUUAAUCGAUUUCAAAGACGGUUAAAUGUGCACAAAAGAGAAACAAUGGCACUUGACCUGUGUAAAUCGAAAUAGAAAAGUUGGUGGUGGAUAACGGUAUAUCUGCUGUUCUUUAGAGGUAUUGGACUAUCUAUAUUUGUCAUCACCCACAGUUAGACUGCUAAGACUCCUAUUGUGGUAAUAGAUAACAAUCUCAUUUACCCCAAAGCGAUUUGAAUCUGAAUUUAACAUGAAAUAGGGUUACCUUUUACCACAAUACAUAAUCUCAUAGUUACCUAGUUAUAUCCCAUGAAUCCACAUUUCUGAAUAAUAUAGAUUUAUAAACCCUUAUUCUGGUUCAGCACUUUAAAUAUGCUGAAUAUAUAUGCCAGAACUCAAUUAAAACUGUAUACCUUUUCGACUAAAACUUAGAGCAAUGUACCAGUUAUAUAUUGUGCCUGCAAAUAUUUAAUUCUUCCAAAUUUCUGCAAUCCCAAGUUGCAAAACCAGAUUUAUCAAGCAUCCAACCGAGUUGUCAUGAAGUUUUGCUGCAUUAAGGUACAACUGAGGUUGUUUUUCUUAGUGGAAGGAUGAGAAACUUAUGACCCAGACAUUUAGAACUAUAAUUGGGAAGAACCUCAGUCAACAUAAGUAAAGAUGAGAGAUGCAAGGUGCUGCAUUUCAGCAACAUCUGCCAGCAAGUUCUAUUUCUAUAUGCUAUGAAGAGUGAUGAAAAGCCUCCAGUAUAUUUUAUUCUGGGUGUGCACUGUUUCAGAAGUCACUCCCUUGUGCAAAUGACAGGAAUAAGAAAACAGCUUCAGCAACCACAGAGACACAGAGAUUAACUUGAUUUCAAACAUGGCUGCUUUUUUAUAAUUGCACAGCUGCCAGACUGUGGAGAGAACAAGUUAGCCACACAAAAUGAUCCCAUAGCCAAAUCAUUGUCCAGUAUUUCCAACAAUACAAUGAUAGUGCGCUACAGAAAAAAAAAUGUACAAUAUCCUGAAUCUCCAUUAAUACUGUAAUAAAUUUAAACCAAGUAUUACACUGGAAAAAAAUGCUGGAUUAAAAGAAACUGAAACUAAUGGUAGGCCGAAAUAAUUGUUUUUAAGGAUUAGGGAGGAAGUCUUCCAGGAGAAAGCGUUCAACCUUUUAUUGGACACAUCUGCUUUCCUCACAAAUCUGUUAAAGAGAUUUUUUGGGGUGGGAAAACAAAAGUAUGUGUUGUAUUGAGAAAGGCCUUGCAAGGAAAAAAAAUAAGCACCUUUUUUUGAAAUACUAGUUCCACCGAUCUUCAAUGAAGGCAUGUGAAACAAUUAAUUCUUUCUUUCUGAAAGAAAAGUCUAGUGUGUACUUAUUUGUCAUCAUUCAUACCUUCAUUUUGGGUGGAUUACUAUGGCUUUAAACUUCCAUAAAAUAUUUAUUGCUUUAACAUUAAAUUAUAAAACACAUUCAGCACCAAAAGCUAAAUUACUGCCAUAUUCUUUAUAGAAUAUAAACAACAAUUACCUGCUCAAGAAGGAACCUAUGUAUGAAAAUUUAUAAUGAUUUUAGAUGAAAAAUUAAUAAAACAAUCAACUUCUUUCUACCGUAGAAGUAAAUAAUAUGUGGGUCUCUCCAUUCUCAUCCAGAAUCUUUACUGCAAAUGCCACUUUUAUUGUACGUUUAUAAUGCAUAAGAAAAUAGAUAGCCCAGAACCAACAUUUAUUUCCCAACAAAUAUAAAAAUGGGGGUGGGGGUGGGGAAUUCCCAGCAAAUUAGAAUUUUUUCCAGAGUGCUUUUUCUUGUAGUUAUGACAAAUUCUACUCAGUUUUGGAGGUAGAUUAAUCAUGGCGAAAAUAAGUUUACAGCAGUAUUUAUAACAACAGAAUUGCAAAUAAACCUGUCCCCUAGAAACUUCUAUAUUGGAGGAGAAAUAAUCUAUUGGUGUAUUAAUGAUUUACUAAAGAACAAAUACCUAUAUUAGAUAUUCUGUAUUUGCAAUUCACGUAAGUGAAAUAAGGUCUUUUAGAAGACAGGAGUGCAUUUGGUAGACUUCCACAGAAACAAACCACAUCUAGUAUAGACAAAAUCUAUACAAAGAAGGAGCCUUCCAAAUCUUCGCGAGAAUGGAGCCCACUUACAGAAUGACAUGAGGUGGUCCUGGUAGGGAGGUUGUGCUUUGCGUUGGCUGGGUACAUCUGUCAGAAGAAUGCAAAGGGCCUGGAAACAAUGCCAACUGCAAAGCAAGCAGCUUUUCAAUUUCUAGAAGAUAUGAAAACAAGGAUUCUGACGGAUGAUUGGGUUCUUGGGGGACUAGUGGUGAUAGUUUCAUUCUUCACUAUCAUCAUUGUCCUCAUUUUGUUUGCUGUGAUCUUUGGCUGCUGUUCAACUGAAAGGAGAAACUAAGCUCUGGGUAAAUCAUGAGAGCACUUGCCUUUACGGUAUUUUAACUACAGAGUGACUGAGCAGUGUAAAGAGCUGUUGCUUCUUGCUGUUUUAUCUUUUGAAUUUAGAAAUGAAUGUAUCAAAGAAGAAACUGGUGCUGCUAAAGCACAACGCCAACUAGCAUCUGAGGGCUGACUCCAAGUGAAGUUUGCAAUAAGCAACCAUGUUUCUGCUGUGUUUUUGAUGCAAGGGUGGUUUCUAUUUGCAAUGGAAAACUGAACAAUAAAUGGCUAUGGUCUCAGAAAUCUUCAUUCAAUCUUUCAAAAGGCCUGUUUUAUACUUCAGAAUAUGUCUAAUUUUUCUGAAGAUCAUCUAUUUAACUUUUUUCUCUAGCAAAUUUUUUAAGUGUGAAAGGACCUGACAGUUGGUCUGUUUAAAACAUCUGUUACAUCUAAAAUCAAUGAUAUGAAUAAAAAAAAAAAUCAAACUGUUAUUUAAAAUAAAGAAUAGCCCUAAUCCUUCAU